GAUGAACGCUGGCGGCGUGCUUAACACAUGCAAGUCGAACGGAAAGGCCGAAGCUUGCUUCGGUACUCGAGUGGCGAACGGGUGAGUAACACGUGGGUGAUCUGCCCUGUACUUCGGGAUAAGCUUGGGAAACUGGGUCUAAUACCGGAUAUGACGAUCUCUUGGAUGGGGUUGUGGAAAGCUUUUGCGGUAUGGGAUGAGCUCGCGGCCUAUCAGCUUGUUGGUGGGGUAAUGGCCUACCAAGGCGUCGACGGGUAGCCGGCCUGAGAGGGUGUACGGCCACUUGGGGAUUGAGAGACGCCCCAGCCCCCGACGGGAGGCAGCAGGGGGGAAUUUUGAACAAGGGGCGCAAGCCUGAGGCAGCGACGCCGGGUGGGGGAUGCCGCCCUUGGGGUUGUAACCUCCUUCCGCAAUGGACGAGGCCUUUGGGGGAGGGUAGGUUGAGAAGAAGCCCCGCCUAACUACGU
rnacentral:rRNA from 1 species